UCUAGAACGACAUGAUUAUUCAUACUCAAUCAACGCUAAUCCCUUGUUACGAACGGAUAAUGUGAUUUUAGACUUAGGUAUCGCGUUUACCCACAAGUUCAAGUUUUAUUCUUGUUUAGAUCAAUAUAUACUGUAAAACACUAAAAUUUUCAGUUUUUGAAAGAAUAAUAUUUGUAUAAUUAGUUUGCGUUACAAGUGAACCCCAUAAAGUAUUUACAAUGUGCCUUUGUGAAGUCUAUUUUGGAAUACGGAGCUGGUGGAUGCGAUGCAUUUAUAUCGUGUGGUUAAAACCAAAUUUAACGUGUGUUAAAUGUUGACCGC